CCAUAGUUUAUCUAGCUUUUAGCUCCAUCGCAUUGCUAAAAUAUUACAGCAUUCUCCGAAUGGAAAGAGGUUUGAGGCUGAGAAUCCUGUCCUGUCAGUAAUGAACCCGACGUAUUCAAGUUUUCAAAGAACCGGACAUUUGGAUCUACCGAGCACAACUCCAGAUCACACACAAUAUUCAAACUGACCAUUGAAAGCAGGGUUAGAGAUGAGGAACACAGUGAUGGCA